rnacentral:rRNA from 1 species
UCCGUAGGUACCGAGCGUUAUCCGGAUUCAUUGGGCGUAAAGAGCUCGUAGGCGGCUAUUCAAGUCGAACGUGAAAUCUCGGGGCUCAACUCCGAGCCUGCGUUCGAUACUGGGUAGCUAGAGUCUGGUAGGGGGAUCUGGAAUUCCUGGUGUAGCGGUGGAAUGCGCAGAUAUCAGGAGGAACACCGGUGGCGAAGGCGGCAUCCUGGACCGACACUGACGCUGAGGAGCGAAAGCCAGGGGAGCAAACGGG